rnacentral:lncRNA from 1 species
UGGAAGUUAGAAGGUCAGUCAAAAUUCAAUCCCUAGCAAAGAAGGAAGAUAAUGGAUAGUAAACAGAAAAGUAUAGUAAGACGAGGCGUGAAGUAGAGUCACACCACGGACGAGGAGGUUCAUGCCUAGUUCGCUACUAUUGAGGCUUCUAGUGCUACUAAGGUGCCUGAUUCUCCUCAUCCUACUCCUUAUGCUGCUCCUUAUGCUGCUUCUGAUAAUACUUCUUCUCAUACUGCUCUUGAUGCUGUUUUUCUUAAUGCUUCUCAUGCUGCUACUUCUGCUGCUAUUGCGGUGACACUUCACGCUGCUUUUUCUUUUGCUUCUGUUGCUACCCCUCAUGAUGCUCCUCAUGCUCAAGUGCACAACCCGUCGUUGCGUCCUUAAAUGACUACAAGCUUUAAGUGAGAGAUGCAACAUAUGUGGACACAGUGGAAGAAAGACCUACAAUCAAUGCAAAUAAACAUGCAAACACAGAUGCAGUCGUUGCGGAUGGAGGUUGAGCAAGACAUGCAGAUGCAUAUGCAUGCAAUGCAGUUCAAGAUCCAGUGGGCAAUGCAACUGUGG